rnacentral:rRNA from 1 species
CCUACGGGAUGCACCAGUGGGGAAUAUUGGACAAUGGGCGAAAGCCUGAUCCAGCAAUGCCGCGUGUGUGAAGAAGGUCUUCGGAUUGUAAAGCACUUUCGACGGGGACGAUGAUGACGGUACCCGUAGAAGAAGCCCCGGCUAACUUCGUGCCAGCAGCCGCGGUAAUACGAAGGGGGCUAGCGUUGCUCGGAAUGACUGGGCGUAAAGGGCACGUAGGCGGUGAAUCGGGUUGAAAGUGAAAGUCGCCAAAAACUGGCGGAAGACUCUCGAAACCAAUUCACUUGAGUGAGACAGAGGAGAGUGGAAUUUCGUGUGUAGGGGUGAAAUCCGGAGAUCUACGAAGGAACGCCAAAAGCGAAGGCAGCUCUCUGGGUCCCUACCGACGCUGGAGUGCGAAAGCAUGGGGAGCGAACGGGAUUAGAUACCCUCGUAGUC